UCCAGACUCCUACGGGAGGCAGCAGUAGGGAAUUUUCGUCAAUGGGCGCAAGCCUGAACGAGCGAUGCCGCGUGAGUGAAGAAGGCCUUCGGGUCGUAAAGCUCUGUUGCGGGGGAAAAAAGGCAGCAUCAGGAAAUGGGUGCUGACUGAUGGUGCCCCGCCAGAAAGUCACGGCUAACUACGUGCCAGCAGCCGCGGUAAUACGUAGGAUGCGAGCGUUAUCCGGAUUUAUUGGGUUUAAAGGGUGCGUAGGCGGCAUUAUAAGUUAGUGGUAAAAUAUUGGGGCUUCACCUCACUACGCCAUUAAUACUGUAGAGCUAGAGAACAGACGAGGUAGGCGGAAUAAGUUAAGUAGCGGUGAAAUGCAUAGAUAUAACUUAGAACACCGAUAGCGAAGGCAGCUUACCAGACUGAGUCUGACGCUGAUGCACGAGAGCACGGGUAGCGAACAGGAUUAGAUACCCGCGUAC
rnacentral:rRNA from 1 species